rnacentral:tRNA from 1 species
GCCUGGGUGGCUCAGUUGGUUGAGCAUCUGACUUCGGCUCAGGUCAGGAUCUCAUGGCCAGUGGGUUCAAGCCCCGCGUCGGGCU